AUUUUUGAUCGCAUAUUAAUGGGUAUGUGUUUAAAAGUAAAAUCAAUUGCAAUUUUCAUUUGAAUAAACUUUUUAUUUUAUUGUGAUAACGAUUGAAAAAUUGCACAUGCAUGGAUAAUUUGGAAAGCAAGCGACUGGUAAUUUGUAAAUUUAAGAGCAUGAAAACCACCAUUGUGUCAAGAGCGCUGCACAGCAGCACUAUUGGGCCAAAAUUUUACAUACAUACAUAUGAAAAACGAUAUACAUACAUAUAUAAAUAUUUACAAAACAUUUUAAUUAAAAUUACCUUUAGUUUAUUUUAAUUUAGUUUAGUAUAAAAUGACGUUUUUCUUUUUAGGGAGUUUAAUACAAAAUAAUACUUUAGCAAUUAAUAAGAAGUACUAAGAAAAUAAAAAAAAUAAAAAUGUAUGAAAGUAACUUUAGUGACGAAAAAUUAAAAUAAAAGUAAACAAAUGAAGUUACAAAAAGCGCAAUUUCAAUAUUAAAAAAAUAGAAAUUAUUUUACAUGAAAAAAUUGAAAAAAAUUUUAUAAUUUUUAAAACAAUAUUUAUAAUUUUCAAAACAACAUUAUUGAUGUUGGUUUUAUUAUUAUGAGUUUUCUAUACCGUUUCGCUGAUCUUAUUGGCCGUCUAAAAAUCUGUCAAAAUUUGCAUUCAGAUACGAGCAAACCUUUCUCAAGGCAAACUGAAAACGCAGCUAAGAAAAUAGCCAGAAAACAAUGCACAAAUUUAUUGCUUCAACCAGCAACGGAGGUGAGGUCUUGGUUAAAUUCAUUCAAUACGAUCAUAGCAGACGGCGAAGGUGUUCUCUGGAUCUACGACAAACCAAUACCGGGUGCAAUUGAUGCUCUAAACCAAUUGAAAGCAAGCGGAAAGCAAAUCUAUGUUUGUACAAACAAUUCCACACAAACGCGUCAACAACAUACUUUUAAAGCAGAACGUUUGGGUCUCAAUAUACGUGAAAAUGAGGUGCUUUGUACGGCGCAUGCAACAGCGCAAUAUUUAAAAGAUUUGCAAUUUCUUAAAUAUGCUUAUGUUAUUGGCGCUGAAGCGCUCACCACAGAAUUGGAUGCGGCUGGUAUAGUUUUACAUAAUGACAGCGGGCCAGACAUAAUGCAUGAAACUGUUGCAAAGUUUGCUACCGAAUUCCGAAAGGAAGCGAAUGUGGGUGCAGUCAUUGUUGGUUAUGACACGCAUUUCAGCUUUUGUAAGUUGGCUAAAGCUGCGACUUAUUUGAAAAAUCCGGAUUGCUUAUUUCUUGCCACCAAUGUGGAUGCAAGUUCAUAUACAGGUGAUAUGAUGUUACCGGGCACAGGUAGUUUUGUUGCGGCUAUUGAGUAUUGCACCGGUCGAAAGGCGUUCGUUAUUGGGAAACCUAGUGCAAAUAUGUGCAUGCAAUACAUUCAAAACGGCCUGAUACAACCUGCAAAUACUCUAAUGAUAGGCGAUAAUUACCAAACGGAUAUGCCAUUUGGACACAAUCUUGGCUUUCAAACACUGCUCGUUGGUACGGGCACACAUACGUGGAGUGAUGUGCUGCACUUGAAGAAGUUGAACGGUAAUUUGGCAAAGCAUUUUAUGCCAGAUGCAUAUAUACCGAAAUUGGCCGAUUUGAAUUACUUCCUGCGCCGCUAAAGUGGUAACUGCAAAGUAUCAUAAAUAAUCGCAAAAUAUCCGCUUUCAUCGAUUAACGAUUACAUUUAUUUAUAGCCAAUUUGCCAAAUAAUUUGUUUAGAGAAAAGUGAUGGGAAGCAAAAACUUAUAAAUCACAAGAAGCGCAAUGUCAUUAAAUACCAGAGAAGAGAGCACUGUUAAAUUUUAGCGGAGUAUACGUCACUGUGAGCAAUUCAACAAUCUACAAAUUUAAAACAAAACUAUAUGUAUUUUUUUGUAAGAAAAUAUAAAAAUAGUGAAAUUAACUUGUGUAAUAAAAAGUUUCCCUUUCACUUUACUACAAAUCAAAACGUAAUUAAAUUUCCCGAAAAAAAUUAAUAAAAUGCGAGAAUUUCCACUCGUUCGCUUCUGUUUCAUUUAUAUACCAGUGCAGAGAAUGAAUAAAUCAGCUGUUACACACACACACCAAAUACAGUUGGAAAACGAUGUUAAAAUGAAAUUUGAUGAAUGGAGCAAAGGCAAGUGGAAAAGCUGAAAACGCAAACGUCAAUGUCAAACAGAUACGCGGACUAUUGAAGAAAACGUUUCCUUAUCACUACCCGAGGGAGGUGCGCUGAACUCUUGGAUGACUAAAGCAAAAAAUAUUUUGCCUCCCAAUAGAAACUGUUUGCGGCAGAUUUAGUGGUGGAAGCGAAAGUGGCGACAGUAGUAGCGGUAAUAUUGGCAGUCAAUAGAACAGUCAACGCAGUGGAUUCUACGCCUGUGGUUGUGUGCAUUUAAUACAGCGGACACGCAAAGGAUUAAUAAUUGUACGUCAGUUUAGCGACGCUUAUAUACUAGCAAUACGGGUAACAGAGGCUAUAGCGUACUUAGUAAACACUAUACAAA